rnacentral:tRNA from 1 species
GAGGGUAGAGCUCUGUGGUAGAGCACACGCUUAGCAUGCUUGAGGUCCUGGGUUCAAACCCCAGUAACUCCA